rnacentral:rRNA from 1 species
AUCGAUUUCUUCGGAUUGAAAUUUUAGUGACUGAGUGGCGGACGGGUGAGUAACGCGUGGGUAACCUGCCUCACACAGGGGGAUAACAGUUGGAAACGGCUGCUAAUACCGCAUAAGCGCACAGGAUCGCAUGAUCCGGUGUGAAAAACUCCGGUGGUAUGAGAUGGACCCGCGUCUGAUUAGCCAGUUGGCGGGGUAACGGCCCACCAAAGCGACGAUCAGUAGCCGGCCUGAGAGGGUGAACGGCCACAUUGGGACUGAGACACGGCCCAAACUCC